UACGGGGGGGGCAAGCGUUGUUCGGAAUUACUGGGCGUAAAGGGCUCGUAGGCGGCCAACUAAGUCGGACGUGAAAUCCCCAGGCUCAACCUGGGAACUGCAUCCGAUACUGGAUGGCUUGAAUUCGGGAGAGGGAUGCAGAAUUCCAGGUGUAGCGGUGAAAUGCGUAGAUAUCAGGAGGAACACCUGUGGCGAAAGCGGCUCACUGGACCAUAACUGACGCUGAUGCACGAAAGCUAGGGGAGCAAACAGG
rnacentral:rRNA from 1 species